rnacentral:rRNA from 1 species
AUGUCCCAGCAAGGAUUUGCAGACACUGGAAACAAUGUUCAACUUGAAGCAGACAAAGCUUCUCUCUCGAGAAGCUCAUCAGGAGAAGGCAGCAUAAAUUCACGUACUUCGGAGGGCUCAUGUCAGGGAAGUCCCGCAAACCAAACGUUUGUUUGCCAGCCUAUUGCUUCGAUGUUAUUGGAACCACAAGAACCACAACUGAAUCCGGAAGGGUUCACAAAAGAACCUUUCCAAGAACCAGAGCUACCACUUUCCAGGAUGCUCAUAGAGGAUUCUGGUAGUUCCAAGGAUUUGAAGAAUCUCUUUGGUUCAGCAAUUGGCCAACCAAUGCUAGCCCCUCCCAGCAAUUUUGGGCCAAUGCGAAAUUCCGGGACUGUGACGAUAAAGGCGAGCUUUAAGGAAGACAUUGUAAGGUUCCGUUUCCCAUGUUCUAGCAGCGUUAUGGCAUUGAAAGAUGAGGUUGCCGAAAGGCUGAGGAUGGAUGCUGGCAUGUUUGAUAUCAAGUACCUUGAUGAUGAUCACGAGUGGGUGAAGUUGGCGUGCAAUGCGGACUUGGAAGAAUGUAUAGAAAUCUCCCGGCAUUCUGGUACCCAUGUCAUCAGGCUCUUGGUUACCGAUGUUGCAGCCCACAUUGGUAGUUCUUGUGGAACCUCCGGUUGA